rnacentral:snRNA from 1 species
AUACUCUGGUUUCUCUUCAGAUCAUAUAAAUCUUUUACUAAAGAUUUCCGUGGAGAGGAAUAAGUACGACUGUCAAUGAAUUUCUGGAGGCUCUUUUUUUUUAUUAUUU